rnacentral:rRNA from 1 species
AGCUCUCCGAGUGGUGUGGAUGUUUAUUGGGCCUAAAGCAUCCGUAGCUGGCUGAGUUAGUCCCUUGUUAAAUCCACCGAAUUAAUCGUUGGAUUGCGGGGGAUACUGCUUGGCUAGGGGACGAGAGAGGCAGACGGUAUUUCCGGGGUAGGGGUGAAAUCCUAUAAUCCCGGGAAGACCACCAGUGGCGAAGGCUGUCUGCUAGAACGCGCCCGACGGUGAGGGAUGAAAGCUGGGGGAGCGAACC